AAAGUUAGAGGUUCGAAGGCGAUCAGAUACCGCCCUAGUUCUAACCAUAAACGAUGCCAGCCAGCGAUCCGGCUGUGUUCCUCAAAUGACACGCCGGGCAGCUUCCGGGAAACCAAAGCUUUUGGGUUCCGGGGGAAGUAUGGUUGCAAAGCUGAAACUUAAAGGAAUUGACGGAAGGGCACCACCAGGAAUGGAGCCUGCGGCUUAAUUUGACUCAACACGGGAAAACUUACCCGGCCCGGACACAGGAAGGAUUGACAGAUUAAGAGCUCUUUCUUGAUUCUGUGGGUGGUGGUGCAUGGCCGUUCUUAGUUGGUGGAGUGAUUUGUCUGGUUAAUUCCGAUAACGAACGAGACUCUAGCCUACUAAAUAGACGUUCCGAUCAUCUCCGUCGGACGUUCUUCUUAGAGGGACAAGCGGCGUUUAGCCGCACGAGACAGAGCAAUAACAGGUCUGUGAUGCCCUUAGAUGUCCGGGGCCGCACGCGCGCUACAUUGAAGGAAUCAGCGUGUGCUUUCCCUGUCCGACAGGACUGGGUAACCCGUUGAACCUCCUUCGUGCUUGGGAUUGCCAAUUGCAACUUUUUCGCAUAAACGAGGAAUUCCGAGUAAGCACGAGUCAUCAGCUCGUGUUGAUUACGUCCCUGCCCUUUGUACACACCGCCCGUCGCUACUACCGAUUGAAUGAUUUAGUGAGGUCUUCGGACUGGCGCUCGGAGCGGCCUUCGGGUCGCGCCGGCGUGCCGGAAAGAUGACCAAACUUGAUCAUU
rnacentral:rRNA from 1 species